rnacentral:rRNA from 1 species
GUGUCAGCCGCCGCGGUAAUACGUAGGUGGCGAGCGUUGUCCGGAAUUACUGGGCGUAAAGGGCGAGUAGGCGGCCAGUUGUGUCAGAUGUGAAAGGCUAGGGCUUAACCCUAGCAGCGCAUUUGAAACUGACUGGCUUGAGUGUAGGAGAGGGAAGCGGAAUUCCUAGUGUAGCGGUGAAAUGCGUAGAUAUUAGGAGGAACACCAGUGGCGAAGGCGGCUUCCUGGCCUAUGACUGACGCUGAUGCGCGAAAGCGUGGGGAGCAAACAGGAUUAGAUACCCUGGUAGUCCACGCCGUAAACGAUGGGUGCUAGGUGUGGGAGGUAUCGACCCCUUCCGUGCCGUAGUAAACACACUAAGCACCCCGCCUGGGGAGUACGGUCGCAAGACUGAAACUCAAAGAAAUUGGCGG